AGUGAGCACACGUGUUCCGCGUUAUUAAAUUCGAGUGAAAUUUAAGGUUAGUGACGUCACCCUUUAAAACAGGCUGAAGCUGAGAGCUCACACGGAAUUGCGAUGGAAAGCGCAUUAAAACCGAUUAGCUGCAUAAUACAUGACCAGGGAAAAGUGCGGAAAAUUUGUGUGGAAAACUGCAGGCAGUCGAGAGACAGAUCGCAUAAUAAUCAAGGAAGUUACGCCAAAAUAAAACCAACGAGUUGAGUGAGCGGAACAAGGAACAAGGAAUAAAAAGGACGAACGAACGAAGAGUAAAGUCGACAAGGAAUACAACGAGUAAAGACAACGAGUAAAGACCAAA